ACCUAGCAACAUACGAAACAAGAAACAACAAUUUAUAUGCAAAACAAUGUUUGCAUCCAUAUUUAUCAAUAAGGCCUACACCAAAAAGCUACCCAAUACAUAAUAUCCCAAAAAGAUACACAAACCUUUCCCAACUUAGCUACAUCCCACUUUGAAACUCUGAGCAAAGAGUUAAAACAUAUGCCCUUCUAUAGUCAUUUGGAAGACUAAAAAAGUAAUCAGUCUACAGUGGGUCCAUUGCAAUUUUUCUGCCCACCUUAAGAAUCUCAAAUUGAGAAAGACCCUGCACCUUCAUCACCUCAGAGACCACUGUCAUUCUUCUAUCUGCAGUAUCAGACUCAUGCUUAAAACAUUGAGCCAAUUUCUCAAUAUGAUCUCCAGCAGCUGCCAUCAUGCCUACUACCUUAGUCAUCUCAGAUGUAAGAUCUCUCACAACCUCAAGAGCCUCAUGCCUAGCUUUCUUAGUUCUGGUUGGCCUACUUAGACCUGCAACUUCAGUAUUAGUAGCUGUCUGGAGAGUAUUCAUA
rnacentral:lncRNA from 1 species